CUGUCUUUUUGCCUUUUCUUGAGCCGCUCCCUCGGCCUAUGGAGGUUCCCAGGCUAGGGGUCCAAUCGGAGCUGUAGCCACUGGCCUACGCCAGAGCCACAGCAACGCAGGAUCCAAGCUGCAUCUGUGACCCACACCACAGCUCAUGGCAACACUGGAUCCUUAACCCAUUGAGCAAGGCCAGGGAUUGAACCCACAACCUCACGGUUUCUAGUCAGAUUCAUUAACCACCAAGUACUGCCUGUGAGUCCAUUUCUAUAACAUUUCCCAAGUGAAAAGUCUAGGGACGUCAAGAUUCCGGCUCAGCCACUGAGAUGACGGAGUCAACUCUAGAUUGCAGGUGGAAGGGACAAGGCUGCAGAACCAGACGGUCCCUGAUUCUGUUCUUGGCUCUCACUCCUCUGACUGUGUGACCCAGGCACAUAACUAACUUCUCUGAACCCUCAACUGAGUUCUCUGUAACACGGGGAAAGGAUCAUGCAUGUUUGGUAAAAGUAUUGAGAGAAUGAAGGGGACAAAUUUAAAACCACACAAUGCCUGAAACAUCAUAAGUAUUCAAUAAAUGGAAGCUAUUAUUUUUAUUAUAAGAUAUACUUGUUCUAUUUUCCCUUUGUUACCGCUCUUAUCAACUGUCAAUAAGUAGAAACUGCACAAUAGCAGUUUUUAACUGGCAUAGUAAAGUUCUUACAAAACCCGAAGCUGAGCUCAACCACCACAGAAGAGGAGGAAUUAGUGUGUGUUUUGAAUAUUAAUGAACAAAUGACCUCCUUCCUUAUUAUGUAUCUGUAUUCAAAAUGCCACAGCUAGUUCUAGUGGUAAUUACUGAAUUUUCAACAUUUAUAAAGAAACAGUACAUACAGUAUGGAGAUAAUUGCCCCAUUGGAGUCUUAAGUAAGAGUCAGUUUCCUAUAAAUAUAGAAUUUGAUAAUUAUCACUAGUGCUCUGUAUUAAAAUUAGAAAGUAGGUAAAUAACAAAUAGGAACAGAAUUUAUUCAUUAUCUUUCAAAUGCAUGUCAGCUCAAUUACCCUAAAAUCUCACAGACAAUAGGUAAAUUGUUUUUCUCCUUUUGCGGGAAGACUUCUUUUCCAGAGUUUCUGUUUCCCGAGGUGGAGUGAGGCAUCGCUUGUUUGACAAGCCGACAGUAUUAUAAUGGCCCCCGGAUUUAGAAGGGGGCUGAAGGCAGGUUUCAUCUGUCUGUGCUUCGGAUUCUGCCUCAGUUCUGAAUUAAGUGUGUUAGAACUGCUUAGAAUUGUAAAGUUGGAGACCCACAGGGGAGAAAGAAAGUUCGAGCUCUGUUUUCAUUUAUAAUCCCUAACGCUGAGUUUUAAGGUCAGACCCAAGUACAAAUCUCCAAACCAGGGAUUUCCCAAGUGAUCACCAAAUCUCGGGAUGCUUGCCAAUCUUCUCCUUUCCACCCAUCCCUCCUCCACCCCAGCGGGGCGGUCAGGGGCCACGUGAAAGCACAAUCUCAGACUCUCCUCUGCUCCAAGGCCUGCCCGCCACGUUGUUCCAGACCGAAGGCGCUCUGGGAGCUGUGGGAGGCUCACCACAAUCAAUAAUUGUCCAGGAAACAAACUCAGAGAAGAGAAAGAAGUGAUUUAUUGAAGAGGCACAUGGAAAUGGCACAAGCCCGGCAUCCCUUCUAAUCACAGACAUGGCACCUAAAAGGAGCAGGGGAGCGGAGCCUCGUUAAACAAAUGUGGAUGCGCCGGGGCCCAAUCAAAAGCUGUUCCGGGGAACAAGGUACCUGAUGAAAGGGAGAACCUGCCACGUUAAACACUGGGCUCAGGUAAAGAGCACGUAAUUGUAGGAGUACAGGGGAAGAAGACUCACCAGGAAAAAGCCAACACUGCUGAAAUUAACAAGAAAAGGGGAAAGAACAUUUAAAAAGCUGGGCCAUCGAUACACAGCAAAAAGGCCCUGUGUAUAAACAGCCCAUCUCAGACCAGAGGAAGAGGAGAGGAUGAACCGCAGGCCCAGUGUUCAAAGUGUCUGCUUUUGCAUCUGCCAGGUGAAAAGGAAGGAAAUGUGGAUUUUCUGAGCCAGAAUUGGUUUCCAAGGAGGGAGGCUGCAGCAAGCCCAGGGCAGUGGCCAUGGCAGAGCCAGUGAGCAAAAGCUGGUCAUGACCUAGAUGACACUGCUGGCUGAGUGGCCGAGGGGUGCAAGUGACCAAUGGCUUCUGUCUCCUGGUCUCCAGAGUCAAAAAGGAAGGAGUAAAAUGCUGCUCUCUCUCUGCUCUUGGGAAGGGCCAGACGGAGGGACGGGCCAUUUCUGCCACCUCUCUGACCAAUUACGUGUCCCUGGGACCCAGUCUCUGCCAUCCUACUGUCUAUCGCUGGAACCUUUGUCUCAGCUCCCACCCUCCGAAACCCACCCCAUUCAGGAGGGGACACCUUGCUUUCUUGUCCUUCGAGUCUAAGGGACAGCAAAAUGACACUCAUGAAAGGACAGACAGAAGACCAAUGAGACCCGAUGUCAGGUCUCAAAGGGAUCAGGGAGCUCCAAGAGUUUCUCAAACUUGUUCACGUCCUGACACACACAGAAAAUGAUAAUAUUUGUAGAGUACACGGAGGAAACAGGUGAUGGGUUCCUAUCUGGAUCUGACUCCCUGGGGCUCCAGCCGCCCCAAACUCACCCUGAUCUGAGGGCUGAGGGGGUCACUGUGUUGACCCACUGGUAACUCCCAGGGAAGAAGCUCUGACAGGCUCACCCGUUAUCAGUCCAAGGGUGCAGACGCCAGAUCUCAGCACCCCGGGGUGCUUCUCUUCACAAAUGCCUCUGCUGGGCCAGUCAGCUCUCUCAUCAGUGGUUUCAGCAGGAGAGAAGAGCCCCAGCUGAUAAGGACAGUCACUGUCCGCUAC
rnacentral:lncRNA from 1 species